rnacentral:lncRNA from 1 species
GGGCUUCAACAACUUACCUCUCUCUCAAACUUAUACAUUGGCGACUGCCCUGAGUUCCAAUCCUUUGGAGAAGAGGGGCUUCAACAUCUCACCUCCCUUAAAACAUUAUCCAUUAGCUGCUGCCCUGAGCUCAAAUCUUUAACAGAAGCAGGUCUUCAACACCUUAGCUCACUUGAAAAAUUGCUGAUCUUCGACUGCCCGAAGCUCCAAUACCUGACGAAAGAGAGACUGCCAAACUCCCUCUCUUCUCUGGUUGUUUACAAAUGCUCUUUGCUGGAAGGUCGCUGCCAAUUUGGGAAAGGCCAAGAUUGGCAGUAUGUAGCUCACAUUCCACACAUAAUCAUCAACGAUGUGUUAUACUGAUGAAGAUGGAAAUAUAUCAAUGUCAAUCAGGUACUUGUUCCAUACUCAAAAUAACUUCCUUUAAAAUAAAAAAUGAUGUGGCAAUUAUUAAGUUUAUGCUUCAAAAUUUCUUAUCAUCUCUAUAGUGCUUCCUUGUUCUCUAUAAGGUUUGGUUGAUUUGGCUAUGGUCAUAAAGGCAUGGUGCCAAGCAGCUCUCAGGAUAUUCUAAGUGACUUGGUCUUCUUGAGCCUCAAUCAUGAUUUAUGGUUAGUGAAAUAUUUUAAUUCUCUUUGAUCCUUUGUCAUGAUCUAUUAUGGAUUUGUACUUGUAGAGACUUCAUUUUCGACUUCCCGAUGGACCAACAGUGGAGACCUCACAAGUUUUUCUUAAUCAUGACUGCAUCAUUUUGUAGGUUCUCGUUUGGCUAAUACUUUCCAAUAGUUAAAGCAUUUGUGCAGUGAUGUAUAUCAUGCUUUAUGUCAAUUUACAAAAAAAUUGUUAUAAGGGAUCUUCCAGAUGGAAGGUGGAGUGAGGAAGAUGUCGUUGUUUUAGUGCCCCGACUCAUUGUUCUUAUUGAACGCAAAGUAUCUUAAUGGUACUGCCUGCUCAAAUUUUACUGAGAUUGCUCUGUUUUUGUUGGGCAAUCUGCACCUACUGGAGACAGUAUUCACUAUGGUUCUACUUGUAAGCGGGGAGAGAUCACCUGAAUGAUAGUUGAUACCACACCACCAAUUAGCCACUGUCAAAAGGCAAGGAUAUGGGAAUGCAUCUUCUUUGUUAUGUACUUAGCAGGACUUAUUUCUUUUCUUUGUUUUUUUUUGCCUAAUUUUGAUCUCAUACAGUUCUUGUUUGGUGUUUCUUAGGUCUUGGCUAUGAUCAGAAAUUUCCAUGUACACUAUGUAGCACACCCCACUUUUCAGGACCAGGAGGUCCAUUCAAGCUCUCAUUGUUCAUCUCAGGAGAGUCAGAUGUUUGUUUGAAAAGAAAAAUACCAAAGUUCAGGUGAAGGUCUAUACAUUUGAGAUUCCCAUGAAGAAUGUUGUAAUUCGAUCUAUUCAAUUUUGAGAGCUUUUGUAGUUCUGUUUGCCAUUUUGAUGUUGGUACCAUUUGAUGAGGGCGGUAGACUAUAACUCCCCCAUUCAACCUUCCAAAUUUUGUAUAGGAAAGAUGAUGUUGUAUUGACCUUAUUCACUUCUUCAUGCAAUGAAAAUUCUCCUCUCUUCAAUACUCCCAAGUCUGCUCAAGUUUUUACCUUUUCACAUUAAUGAUAUUCAUACCUGCUUUAGAGUGCGUUUGACAGUAAUUUUAGAAAAUAUUUCUAUCAUUUCUAAUACUUGAAAAAUUUUAUUUUUCAAGUAUUAGAAAUAUUAUAAACACUUCCUAGAAUCAUUGUUAAACGCAUUCUUAAUUACUAGCCGCUGACAAUCAAGCUUCAUUUAUGGGAAGACAAAAAAUGAAGGAAACUGAAUCAUAGUAGAAAAGAAACAUUUAGUUCCAACAUCAAUACUAUUAAUUUACAUCAUCCCUCUAUCCCUAUCUAUGAAAGAAUUCUUCAUAUGAAUACAUCCUUCCAUCUAAGGACCCAUGAUUGUAGUUAAAAGACACUCAUACAACACCCACUACUAUGUAGAGGAGUGCAUUGGUGAUACUACUUUGAGAUUUGAUAUUUGAAAACUUUGAGAUUGUAAUAAAUAACAAUAAAAGAAAUAAUGCAUAAAAGUAAAUAGGAAAGCUAGAGAUAAAGAGAAUUCAAACUCAAGAUCUUUAUAGUACAUAACCUUACGUAUAUCCGUUCUGCUCAAGUUCCAAUUGGGAUGAAGGUUCCACUAAUCCAAAACUUUUUAAAGCUCAAGCCUUCAAACUUUAUAUAUUUGGAUUAUGGUUCUAAGGAACUCUCUAUAGCAAAAUUUUUAAAAACAAAGUCUCCAAACUUUUCCUUCUAAAUUAUGGUUCCAAAGUACCAUCUCAAGAGAUAUCCCGCUCUUGAGCUAUUCAAGCAAUCCUACACUUGUUAAUCUUCGUAGGACUAACAAUUGAAAGAAGAUUAAUCUUUGUAUUAUACAAUUUUGAUUCAAAUAAAUACAAAGGAAGCAAUGAUAUCAAAGUGCAUCAAAUGGAUAAGUAAGAUUAUGAAUCAAGAUGCACUAAAAACCAUUAUCCCAAUGGAUAAUAAUCAAAAUUUGGUUCUUAGAGAAUUAAUAAUGAGAGUUAAAAGGUCUUUAUACAUGUAUUGUGAGUAAACUAGACAUUAGAGAUAAUUAAAGAAAUCUUAAAGUUUCGAGCAAUCACGAACUUUUUGUGUUUUUUGUUUCCCCUCACGUGUAUGUCCUCAAAUCUACGUAUACCAUUCUAUUAUUCAAAACAAAUUUUCAUAUUUCAUUUUUUUCUUAGAAGAAAAAUACUUAGUUUCUAGUUGUCUAAUAUAAGGACAUUUUGAUAUUUUUCACUUUUCAAUUUAUUGUCGUUUUUAUAUUUCUUUUUUGAGCUUGAGAUCAACAUGAAUAUCUUAAUUUUGACUUUUAACUUAUUUUAAACUAUUCUUUAAUAAUUUUUUGUCCAUAGUUUUUUACUGUACAUUAAAAUAGUGAAGAAGUUUGUAUUCCAAUUUUAUAAUAUGUAGCAACUGUGCAAAACACAUUAAAUCUACUAGCAUAGUGAAAGUGUUGAAGUAUUUUCACAUGGACAAAUCAAUUUUAUGAAUAAACUUAAUUUACAAGUAGUUAUUCAAUCACUUGAAAUAAUAAAGAGUUCAUACUACAAGGAAAAAGUUCAAUUGAAAUAAUAAAGAACCCCUAGGUUAAGAAGCUCCAUAUUUUACUACAAUUAAUAAACUUAUGGAUCAUAUAACUUGUAUAUAUAUUUUUUUGUUUUAAUUAUUUGCUAUUUUCUUUUGACAUCGGAGAUGAAUUUAUUAUUUAAUAGAAAGUUUGUUUCCCAUGGGAGAAUUUAUUGAAAUUUGAAUAAUUUUAAAAUUAUAGUAUUUUUUUAAUUUUAAAUAGAACUCGUGAUUUAAAAAGACGAAUUCAAUGUAAAAGUGAACUCAUAUGUUAAAAAGAUGAGCUCAUAUUUUUUACAUUUUCAAUAUAAAAAGUUUUAAAAUAAAAAAUAUACAAAAAGUGAAUUCGUCUUUUUAAAAGACAAGUUCAAUAUAAAAGAAGAAUUCGUCUCUUAAGAAAACGAGUUUAGUGUAAAAAUAAAAAUAAAAAGUAAUAAAAAGUGUCGUAUUUUUGUAUUUAUUUAUUUUUAAAAAAAAAUCCCUGAAAUUUGUUACCCGAAGUGCCACGUGACAAAUCGGAUGAAAAAGAGCCACGUCACCGCUAUUAGUUGCUCACGUGCCACUCCAUAUCGGACACUUCCUCACGUGCGAAUCCUCUCAGAAAUUCAGAAUCCAUCUUCCCUGGUAAGUUAUUGAGUUAAUUUAGGCUUUAGUAUAUGAAUUAUAGCUUAAGGGCAUCCUCAAUUAUUCCAAUUUUGGUUAAUUUUCUCAAUAUUGGAGGCUCUUUCGUUUGUCGCUUCUAUUUGAGAUUUUGAAUCACUUGCGUGUGUUUGGUUGCGGAGAAAGUGUAGGAAAAAAAUAUAAAGUCAAAAUAAUAUAGAGUAUCCUGCCUUUUAUUAGGUAGUGGUCCUCAUGGAAUAGCUAGGUGAGGGUUUGAUCAAUAUAUUUUGCACAGCGUAUCUCAUUAUGGAUGAAAUUUCUUAAGCAGUGUGGGUUUGGGGUUGAAAUACUAGGUAUUUAUCUCCAAUUAAUACAAAUUUAUUACUUAUUCGAUUUCAAGUUGAAAUGCUGUUGGUCACCUUCUUGAACAAUAAAUUGGAACAAUGCAGAAAAACUUCUUUUCUCAGAUCUGUGAGUAAUAAUUAGAGCAAGAGAAACAGCUUCUCUCUCGCCCCUGCUGCCAUUGCCCCUAAUUAUAUUUCUCUUUCUUUUUCUUUUCUUUUUAUUUGUGUUUGGAUUUGGAUUUUAUAGCCUGAAACUCUCUCAUUUGUGGGUACGCCAAUUUCUGUCUUAUCUUCUUCAUUGUUUUCUCUUAAAUUUAUGUUCUUUUGAUCAAUUAGUUUGUUCUUUUGACUUGAAUUUGAUUGAUUUUAUUUGGGUUUCUUUUGAAUGGGAGCUUUGACUAUUCUGAAUUUUGUUUCUUAAUGUGAGUUUUGUCUGAGUGUUGGACUGUGCAAGUCGUUUGAUGAUACAUUCAAAUUGUACCGAAUCAGUUUGAUGAAAAACCCACAAAUUGUUGAUGGAAAACUGUGUUAUGGAGUCUUGUAUCCUUCCGUUUCAUUUUUUCACCCAAACAGGUGAAUUUCUCAUCCUUGGAUUCUAAAUCCAAAUCCGUGUUUGUGGACAAUGACCUUACAAUCAGAAAUAAGCAAAUGUGCAUGUAAACUUGCCCCUUCAUUCAUCUGCCUAUUUGUCAGGUUGUGAAACCUGAGUAGGAGAUCAUUUCUGGAACUCAUCGAUGAGUUGGGAAGUGGGUUGAGUUGUGGUUCGCUGUUUGUGGGUUCGACCAUUCUGUCUAUAUCUGUUCCUGCAUUGCUCUAGUUUAACACUAACCUUAAAGAUUUCAUGGAGACAAUGAGCGACAAAUAAUUUUCAAUAGUGUUUUGUCUCUCUAAAAUUUCAAAAGAUUUGACGUUCCAUUUGUCCAGGUACUGAAUUUAUUACAUGCUCAUACAUCAAGCUUAGACAAUGAUUGUAGAGGAUCUUGGAAUUGAAGCCAAGGAAGCGGCGGUUCGUGAGGUUGCCAAACUUUUGCCACUACCUGAACUUUUGCAGUCAAUUUCGUCAAUCAAGGCUGAUUACAUUACGCGCCAACAGGUGAUGCUUCUUUGUCCAAUUUAAUAGUCAAAAUUUCUAUUUCAAUUUGGGUUAGUUUCAAUCACAUAUGUAGGUGAGUACGUGUGUGUGUGUGUGUGUGUGUGUGUGUGCACACCUAUCCACACACAUGCAAAAUUUUGAAGUUAUGCAGGUGUUGCGUUAAGAUUAUACUGAUUGAACAAGAGAAAUUUUUGGUUUUGGGUGACUGGAAUGAGCAAUCAUCUUGGAACUCUCUAGAUACAUGGAAAUUGAAGUGUGAGAUCAGGUUGAAUGAGUUGCUAGCUUGUUUUAUUUAUGAAAGUUGAGUUCAUGUGCUAGGAAUCAGAUCUCUCAAGUUUUGCUUUCUUGGGGCUACUUCACUCUGUUUCUGAAGUGAAAGAUUUUAAGAUGCUCCCCAACAAGGAGGAGUCCAAUUAGGCUUGUAAGAGGAUUUAAAACUAGUAUGGAACUCAACUAUUCUUAGCAUCCGAUCAAUAGAGUGCUCCAUCAAUUGACAUGUAGAAUCUUUAUUGACAAUUGAUUGAGAAAGAAAAGCCUUAGAGCUAAAUUUAUGAAGGGGCUCAAUCUAUCAAUUCUCAAAUAUACUCCUAGCAUGUGUGGAGAUCCAAUUCCCUAUGCAAUGAGUUAGGGCAUUUAAAAGAUUGGUGGGGAACUAAAAACUAUCCAAGUCCUAUGUUUUCUAGGUCACUUGGUAUAGCCAAAAAAGUGUGUUGACUGAUCCUGAUGGUCUUCAAUGAUGCGUUCAAGGAUUGAGUUCAGAGCAUGCUGGAUCACAUUGGACAUCUGAGGGAACUCUGACUAACCUAACUAGAUCUUUUAAUGGAUCAUAAAAAUGCUAAAUUCCUAAUAUUUCUUAUAUUAAAUUUAUGUAAAACCUUCAAGUUGCCUUCUGAAUGUUGCUAUAUUUUUUUAAUGUCAGGCAAAUGAUGCACAACUUAGUAUGAUGGUUGCAGAGCAGGUAUACAGAAACUUCUAUUCUAAGCUUCAGGGAAAUUAUUAUGUUGUUAUUAAUGUUAUGUGGUUACUAUUAAGUCUCUUAUGUUCUUCACUUUUUUUAUGAGUCUAUGGAGCUGAAGAAUCCCAGGCACUUUAAUUUUACUACCAUAUUGAUGUGUUCUAUUGAAACAACACUCUUAAAUUCAGGUUGAACAGGUACAGGCUGGGUUGGAAUCAAUUUCCUCAUCUCAAAAGACAAUAAACCAGCUUCGUGAGAACUUUCUCUCUAUUGAGAGGUAUGUUCUGCUUAUGAUUUUCCUAGAAAAUUCUUGUUGUUUUCUAUAUGUGCAGUUAUUAGGCUUCAACUCAGUAUUAAAGCAUUCAACUUUAAGGACUAAUGUGUUUACUUGCUUUUGCCUCAGGCUAUGUCAAGAGUGCCAAAACUUAAUUGAAAAUCAUGACCAAAUAAAGCUCCUUAGCAAUGUGAGAAAUAACUUAAAUACCACACUGAAGGUGAAUGCAAUGUCUGACCUUUGUUUUCAUCAACUUUUUCUUUAUCAUGAUAUGUUUCUUGCAUACACACACACAAACAUACAUAAGUUCUUGUCUCUCUAUAUCUAUGCACAUGUUAUUGUUCAGCUGCAGCUUGCAGUCUACUAAAUAAUGUUAUCUUUUUUCUUUCUUUUUGUCUGUGUGUCGUUGUUUUCCCCCCUUUUCUUUUCCACCUAUCCAAGGCAACAGAACAAAUGUGGCAUCCUAAAAUGCUGCCAGAAGCUAUGAGCCCAAUGACCAUUAAUGUGGGGCAGAAGAGCUUUUAUCGAAGUCAUUUUUUCAAAAUUCAGUUAGGAAAAAGGAGACACUUUGUAAUGCAUGACCUUAUUCAUGACUUGGCUCAACUGGUGUCUGGAGAAUUUUUUAUGUAUGCCAAAUCUCAGAAAAGACACGUCAUUUAUCAUAUUUUCCUAGAAAAUAUAAUACAUUUGAUAGAUAUGGAACACUUUCUGAAUUUAAGUGUUUGCGAACAUUUUUAUCAUUGGAGGUUUACGGGAUUGGCUACUUAAGUAAUAGAGUUCUACACAAUCUAUUAUCAGAAAUUAGAUGCUUGCGGGUGUUGUGUUUGCAUAACUAUAGGAUUGUUUAUUUGCCCAAUUCAAUUGGCAAGUUACAACAUUUGUGCUACUUGGAUCUCUAUAAUGCUUUGCUUGAAAAAUUGCCUACAUCAAUAUGUACUUUGUACAAUUUACAAACAUUGAUAUUGUCAAGGUGUUCGAAUCUGUAUGAAUUGCCUUCAAGAAUCGAAAAUUUGAUUAAUUUGCGUUAUCUUGACAUUCUUGGUACCCCACUAAGAGGGAUGCCAAGUCAUAUUGGCCAUUUAAAAUGUUUGCAAAACUUGAGUUAUUUCAUUGUGGGGCAAAAGAACAGGUCGGGGAUUGGAGAAUUGAAGUAACUUUCAGAUAUAAAGGGAACACUUAGAAUUUCAAAGUUGCAGAAUGUGAAAUGUGGCAGGGAUGCAAGAGAAGCCAAUUUGAAGGACAAGAUGUACAUGGAGGAGUUAGUGUUGGAUUGGGAUUGGGAAGCAAGUGAUAUUAUACAAGAUGGAGACAUAAUUGAUAAUCUUCGGCCACAUACAAACCUAAAGAGACUCUCUGUUAAUCUUUUUGGUGGUUCGAGAUUUCCGACAUGGAUAGCAAAUCCUUUAUUCUCUAAUCUCCAGACCCUAAAGCUUUGGAAAUGUAAAAAUUGCUUAUCAAUACCACCACUUGGGCAGCUACCCUCUCUUGAACACUUACGGAUCUCAGGAAUGAAUGGAAUAGAGAGGGUGGGCAGUGAGUUUUAUCAUUAUGGGAAUGCUUCUUCUUCCAUUUCUGUUAAGCCUUCCUUCCCAUCCUUACAAAACAUUUGAGUGGAUGGACAAUUGGAAGAAAUGGUUGUGUUGUGGAUGCAGACGUGGAGAAUUCCCUCGUCUCCAGGAGCUUUAUAUGCGGCACUGUCCCAAACUCACUGGGAAAUUACCAAAACAGCUUCGAUCCUUGAAGAAACUUGAAAUUGUUGGAUGUCCGCAGCUGCUUGUGCCUUCACUCAAAGUCCCUGCAAUCAGUAAAUUGACGAUGGUCGAUUGUGGUAAAUUUUAGUUGAAAAGGCCAGAUAGUGGCUUCAUUGCUCUUCAAACCUCACUCGUUAAAAUUUCAAACAUCUCUCAGUGGAAGCAGCUACCAGUGGGAGUGCAUAGCCUCUCAAUUACAGAAUGUGAUUCUGUGGAGACUCUAAUAGAAGAGGAACCGCUCCAGAGCAAAACUUGUGUUCUCAAAGAUUUGCAAAUCACAAAUUGUUGUUUGUCUAGAUCCUUGCGCAGAGUUGGUUUACCCACUAAUGCAUUGGAAUCACUAGAAAUCUCUCACUGUUCCAAGCUAGAGUUUCUCCUACCUGUGUUGUUGAGAUGCCACCACCCUUUCCUUAAAUAUAUACUGAUCGGAGAUAGCACUUGUGAUUUUCUCUCAUUAUCCUUCUCCUUAAGCUUCUUCCCAAGGUUGAACCAAUUUGAAAUCUAUAAUCUUGAAGGGCUUGAAUUCCUCUCAAUUUUGAGUUCAGUGGGGGAUCCCACAUCUCUUAAUUAUUUGGAUAUCCAAGAGUGCCCUGAUAUUGUAUAUAUUGAAUUGCCGGCUCUCGACUGAGCAACUUAUGUGAUCUCCAGAUGCUUGAAGCUCAAGUUAUUGAAGCACACCCUCUCAACUUUGGAGAGUUUGAAUUUAAGAGGUUGCCCAGAAUUGUUGUUCCAGAGAGAUGGUUUGCCCUCCAACCUACGUGAACUUCUCAUUUCAUCCUGCAACCUACUCACAUCUCAGGUGGACUGGGUUUGCAAAGACUGGCCUCUCUUACAAUGUUCACAAUCAAAGGUGGAUGCCAAGACAUGGAAUCAUUCCCCGAUGAGUGCCUAUUGCCCUCCACAAUUACCACUCUCAGAAUUAAACGACUUCCAAACCUCAGGUCUCUGGACAGUAAGGGGCUUCAACAACUUACCUCCCUCUCAGACUUAGACAUCGGCAAAUGCCCUGAGUUCCAAUCCUUUGGAGAAGAGGGGCUUCAACAUCCACCUCCCUCACAACAUUAUCCAUUAGCAAUUGUUCUAAGCUCCGAUCCCUUGGAGAAGAGAGGCUUCAACAUCUCACCUCCCUCAAAUCAUUAUCCAUUAGUGGCUGCCAUGAGCUCGAAUCUUUAACAGAAGCAGGUCU